CAGUCGCCGCGGUAAUACGGAGGGAGCUAGCGUUGUUCGGAAUUACUGGGCGUAAAGCGCGCGUAGGCGGUUACUCAAGUCAGAGGUGAAAGCCCGGGGCUCAACCCCGGAACUGCCUUUGAAACUAGGUGACUAGAAUCUUGGAGAGGUCAGUGGAAUUCCGAGUGUAGAGGUGAAAUUCAUAGAUAUUCGGAAGAACACCAGUGGCGAAGGCGACUGACUGGACAAGUAUUGACGCUGAGGUGCGAAAGCGUGGGGAGCAAACAGGAUUAGAUACCCCGGUAGUCCCUGUCUCUUAUAC
rnacentral:rRNA from 1 species